AUUGAACGCUGGCGGAAUGCUUUACACAUGCAAGUCGAACGGCAGCACGGACUUCGGUCUGGUGGCGAGUGGCGAACGGGUGAGUAAUGUAUCGGAACGUGCCCAGUCGUGGGGGAUAACGUAGUGAAGAUUACGCUAAUACCGCAUACGAUCGAUGGAUGAACGCGGGGGAUCGCAAGACCUCGCGCGAUUGGAGCGGCCGAUAUCAGAUAAGGUAGUUGGUGGGGUAAAGGCCCACCAAGCCAACGAUCUGUAGCUGGUCUGAGAGGACGACCAGCCACACUGGAACUGAGACACGGUCCAGACUCCUACGGGAGGCAGCAGUGGGGAAUUUUGGACAAUGGGCGAAAGCCUGAUCCAGCCAUUCCGCGUGCAGGAUGAAGGCCCUCGGGUUGUAAACUGCUUUUGUACAGAACGAAAAGGUUUCUACUAAUACUAGGAGCUCAUGACGGUACUGUAAGAAUAAGCACCGGCUAACUACGUGCCAGCCGCCGCGGUAA
rnacentral:rRNA from 1 species